CCGGCGCUCUGUCCGGUCUCACUCAGCCCCCCGCCCACCUCAUCAUCUUGCCUUGGAAUGGAAAACCGCUUCAGUUCCAGCAGCGUUCCGGGUGGGGUGUGUGCUAUAAAUCAGAAAUAGGAUGCAGUAUUUUGUCUUAAAACUCAUAUUCCCUCUGAUGCUACAAGAAAGGAAUUUUGAUGCUAAACGGAAGGAAUUUUUGUUUCUUUUUCUUUUUUCGGAACUGCAAGUAACAUUCGGGGGAGCGGGGUGGAAUCUCAUAGCUAGAUUCUUGUUCCGUUGAUAUCAUGCAUUUCAAUCCGAUUUUAAAACGUGGUCACCGCCGCCAUCCCAGUGUGUUCCAUUUUGCAUAUAUACCGUAAUCACAGAUUAAUUAAUUCGGAACAACAUUGUGAAUUAGGAUCUUGCCCAUCCGGAAGCGCGCAUAGGAAAUGGCAGCAAGAAUUGGUCACUAACCUACAGCACUACCAGCUUUGCUGCUCCCUCUCUCUGCACAGGGCAAAUUGAUCAGUCUCUAUACAUGGACAAAUCUGAAUCAAAAAUGGUAACAUUCAGAAAACAUUCAGUCCUUCAGGACACUUUGCUGCUGACCCCAAAGUCAUCAUUCUUCAACAAAUAAAUGUCAGAGGGAGAUUCCAGUGUGAAAUUGCUGAGCCAGAAAACUGGCAUGGCAUGCUUGAUUCUAUUUGUUUAGGCCCCAGUUGAGGCAAGGGUUUCUUCUCCUACUACAGCCGUUAAAUUAGCAAUGCAAAACUAAAAACACGAUAUUGUUACUGAAUGCCUUUAAACCUGUUUUUUUUCAAAGAGCCUUUUGGCCUGCCCUGAAAUUGUCUUUAUAGAAUGCCUUCUGACUGUUAGAUCUAGGUCUGUUUGUUCUGCUUUUGUUAACUUUGGUUGAUUUGCUGUACUCUUGUAUGUGUGCCAUUUAGUACUUUUAGCUGAUUUGAUUGUACUUAGGUUUAUUGUUUUAACUCUGCUUGCUUUCUCCCUCACCCCUUUUUGUAGGUUGCUUUGUUUUGUUACUUGGUUGCUGUGAUUCUAUUUUGUUUAUAACUGCCCCAAGUCUGUGCUCAUCUUGUAUAUAGUUAAGCUUCAUCUGGAACAGUCGUGCCUCUUGCAUUUCAUAGCCACUUGGCUUUCCUAUGUUCUCUCCCCCAUCCCAACUUUAUAUCCAGCCUAACCAGUGAUGCAUCGAUCUGAGUGGUGUCUGAGUCACUCCAUGGAUUCUGCUUUCUGAAGUAAAUCAUUCCAUCAAUUUUUUGAGGUGAUGCCAGUAUAAAAACAAAGAUGGUGCUGUAGCCAGGGGCAGAGCAUCUGCUUUGCAUGCAGAAGGCCUCAGGUUCAAUCCUUGGCAUCUCCACGUAGAGCUGGGGAAGAAUCCUGCCUGGAAUCUUGAAGAUCCACUGCCCAUCAGUGUAGCUAGAUGGCACUGAGCUAGAUGGAUCAAUGGUCUGAUUCUGAAUAAGGCAGCUUCCUGUGUUCCUAAUAUGCACACCCAUAUCUUAACAGUUCACAUAAGUUUUUUUUUAAUUUAGUUAGUUAAACAAAAUAAUGUAUGCAGUUUAUACUUGGUUUUAAAAGCAUUAUCGCGAGUGCCAGAAAUCCUGCCCAGAUUUAUUUAAUGCAGAUUCACAUGAAAUAAAUCAAGUGUGACUUUUCAGAAAACUUGAAACCCAUAAUAAUUUUGAACAUCUUCUAUCUUCAUUUUGCAAAGGCAUUUAAAAGCAGCACAUAUUUGUACAUCAAAGACAAACAUAUUUGAAAGAUUUCAGCAUCAGAAAAUUUGUAUACUUUUUGGUUCCUGAAAUAAUCUUUCCACAUACACAGAAAGCAGCACCCUGCUGAAGAAGCUAUUUUUCAUUUCCUGAAUGAUCAGUACUGGCAUUAUUAUUUGCCAGAUUGCAUACUUGAGAGGAGUCUUGCUCACAUUUUCUUCCAGAGGCAUCAAUCACUUUAUGUUUUAUGAUCAGCUAUGAAUUAUGAAUAUGAUUUACUAACAUAUUGCACAAAAUUUCCUCAUUCACCUUGCUUGAUAUAACUUUGAAAAGAUUGGUAAUAAAUAACUUUUUUCCUGUUCUAACAGGAAGAAACUGGCAUAUAUAAGAAUGAAUGUGCAACUCCUCAUCAAGAUGGGUGUAUUAUUUCAUUGAAAGAGCAAUAUCAUGCAAAUUACUUUCUUCAUCCCUGCAAAAAGUUGUGAAAAAAGGAGGUGAACUUACACAAUUUUAUUCUUCCCCACUUCUUCCACAAGAUCAUCAGAUUGGUAGGGGCUAAAGAGCUCAGUGAGUGUUUGCUUUCAUGAUGCCAGGGAAUAUCAAUCAAUCUUUUUGUUAUGGUCCAAGACCAGUCAACAAAAAAUACAAAACAAAUAUACCAACAACAACACCAAUACAUCACCCCAGCAGUACAAAAUCAGCAGUCUAUACCUUAAAAACACUUAGCUGGAAACUUAACUUUCUGUACUUGGACCAGUGCUCUUUAACUUGCUCAUAAAUGAUCUAGAAGUUGGGGUAAGCUGUGAAGUGUCCAAAUUUGCAGAUGACACUCAACUAUUUAGAGCAGUGAAAUCCAAAAGCAAUUGUUAGGAGCUUUCCAAACUGGGUGAGUGGCCAAAAAAUGGCAAAUGUGUUCAAUGUAAGCAAGUGUAAAGCAAUACAAAUUGGGCAAUACACUGAUGGGGUCUGAACUGUCAGUGACUGACCAGGAGAGAGAUCUUGGGGUCAUGGUGGACAGCUCAUUCAAAGUGUCAACUCAGUGCGUAGCAGCUGUGAAAAAGGCAAAUUCCAUGCUAGGGAUCAUUAGGAAGGGGACUGAAAAUAAAAAAUGCUAAUAUUGUAAUGCCCUUAUCCAAAUCUAUGGUGUGGCCACAUUUGGAGUGCUGUGUACAGUUCUGGUCACUGUAUCUUAAGAAGGACAUUAUAGAACUGAAAAAGGUGCAGAAGAGGGCAACCAAGAUGAUCAGGGGCCUGGAGCACUUUCCUUAUGAGGCAAAUCUUAAGCAUCUGGGGCUUUUUUGUCUGGAAAAGAGGAGACUACAAAGAGACAUGAUAGAGGUGUGCAAAGUUUUGCAUGGAAAAACUUUUCUCUUACACACAACAAACCCAAGGGUCAUCUAGAACCAAGGGUCAUAGUAUGAACUAAAGGACAGGGAAUUUAGGACCGACAAGAGGAAAUACUUUUUCACAUCGCACGUAUGUGAAUCUAUGGAAUUCUCUGCCAAGAGAUGUGAUGAUGGCCACUAACUUGGAUGG